rnacentral:tRNA from 1 species
AUUCUUUUAGUAUUAAUUAGUACGGCUGACUUCCAAUCAGUUAGUUUCGGUCCAAUCCGAAAAAGAAUA